rnacentral:rRNA from 1 species
UGAAUACGAGACGCUAAGGCGUUGAAGUAGUGUAUGUCAUACUUCCAAGAAAAGCUUGCACUGUCAUAGAUAAAAAACGCCUGUACCAUAACCGACACAGGUGGGUAGGUAGAGUAUACUAAGGGGCGCGAGAUAACUCUCUCUAAGGAACUCGGCAAAAUAACUCCGUAACUUCGGGAAAAGGAGUGCCUUAUUUAUAAGGCUGCAAUAACAAGAUCCAAGCAACUGUUUAUCAAAAACACAGGUCUCCGCUAAGUCGUAAGACGAUGUAUGGGGGCUGACGCCUGCCCAGUGCCAGAAGGUUAAAGAAGUUGGUUAGCAAUAGCGAAGCUGAUAACUGAAGCCCUGGUGAACGGCGGCCGUAACAAUAACGGUCCUAAGGUAGCGAAAUUCCUUGUCGGGUAAGUUCCGACCCGCACGAAAGGCGUAAUGAUUUGGAUACUGUCUCGGAGAGGGGCUCGGUGAAAUAGACUUGUCUGUGAAGAUGCGGACUACCUGCACCAGGACAGAAAGACCCUAUGAAGCUUUACUGUAACUUGAAAUUGAAAUUGGACUUUAUUCGCGCAGUAUAGGUGGGAGGCGUUGAUUGUAAUCUUGCGGGAUUAUUGGAGCCAUCAGUGAGAUACCACCCUUGUAAUGUUAGAUUUCUAACUUUGAAUCAUUAUCUGGUCAAAGAACAGUUUCAGGCGGGCAGUUUGACUGGGGCGGUCGCCUCCUAAACGGUAACGGAGGCGUACAAAGGUUUCCUCUGAACGGUUAGAAAUCGUAUCUAGAGUGUAAAGGCAUAAGGAAGCUUGACUGUGAGACCUACAAGUCGAGCAGGGACGAAAGUCGGUCUUAGUGAUCUGACGGUACUGAGUGGAAAGGCCGUCACUCAACGGAUAAAAGUUACUCUAAGGAUAACAGGCUGAUCUCCCCCAAGAGUUCACAUCGACGGGGAGGUUUGGCACCUCGAUGUCGGCUCAUCGCAUCCUGGGGCGGUAGUACGUCCCAAGGGUUGGGCUGUUCGCCCAUGAAAGCGGUACGCGAGCUGGGUUCAGAAUGUCGUGAGACAGUUCGGUCCAUAUCCGGUGUAGGCGUUAGAAUAUUGAGAGGAGCCUUCUUUAGUACGAGAGGACCGAGAAGGACAUACCUCUGGUGUACCAGUUAUCGUGCCAACGGUAAACGCUGGGUAGCUAUGUAUGGAGUGGAUAACCGCUGAAAGCAUCUAAGUGGGAAGCCCACCUCAAGAUAAGUAUUCUCC